CAUGUGGUUAAUUCGACGAUACGCGAGAACUACCCGGGUUUGACAUUGUAUCGAAGCAUCCAGAGAUGGAUGUGUCUCUUCGGAGACGGUAUGACAGGUGCUGCAUGGCUGUCGUCGGCUCGUGCCGUGAGGUGUUGGGUUAAGUCCCGCAACGAGCGCAACCCCUAUCUUUAGUUGCCAUCAGUUCGGCUGGGCGCUCUAUGGAGACUGCCACCUAAAGUGGAGGAAGGUGGGGAUGACGUCAAGUCAGCAUGGCCCUUACGUCCGGGGCUACACACGUGCUACAAUGGCCGGUACAAAGGGUUGCGAAGCCGUGAGGUGGAGCGAAUCUCAAAAAGCCGGCCUCAGUUCGGAUUGGAGGCUGCAACUCGCCUCCAUGAAGUCGGAAUCGCUAGUAACCGCAGAUCAGCUACGUUGCGGUGAAUACGUUCCCGGGCCUU
rnacentral:rRNA from 1 species